AGCAAAUUCACAAAAGAACUUUUUUCCUCAUUUUAGAGUAAAUGAAACAAGAUCCUUUAUACUCUUCAUCUCCAGCAUGGCUUUGAUAUCUUACCUUCCAGGUUUCUUUUCUGUGUUUACAUGGUAUGCAGUAUGCAAGCUCUUAAAUGUUUAAAUAUUGUCAUUUACCACCAGAAUUGGAGGAAGCCUCACAAGGCAAUCUUGAGCAACCUAUGACCACGGAAGAGAUUCCACAGAGUCCUACAUUAGACAAAAUGGUAUAAAUGGAAACAUGGUGUAAGAUCUCUGUAAAGCACCAAGUAUACUCUAUAGAGACUGGCAUCUGAAAAUCACCUGAGAUGUUGCUGUUGCUGGAGAAAUGUCACUGGGAAAGAUAAAGGACCAUUAUUCUAAAGAGUGUUUCAGGCUGACUGAAUCAGGUCUGAGACAUUAUUGAAAUGGGAAGAUAAACUCAACUACUUUCAGAGCAUGUCGAUAUUCCUUGGAGUUAUAAUUCAAGACUGCUUUGAGACAAACAAAUGUGGGUUAUUUCCAAGAUCACAGCCCAGUUUA